GGAUGUGAGGGUGAUCUGGCUGUGACAUCUGUCAUCUCAUUGAUUUUCAGUGUUGAUUUGGCUGAUCUGGCUGGCUAGGCAAGUGACCCCUUCAUCCCUCACCAGAUCAUGUGCAUCCCUCCCAAAGCUUCUCACUCGGUGGACGAUGAACUUCCCUGAAUAGAGGAGGCCCAAUCUUCUCUCAAGGGUAUACAAGUAGCUGUGCUCCCCUGUUAGAACCUCCAAACAAGCUCUCAAGAUUGACCCUUAGGCAAGUAUAUAGGGAAUUUUCCUGAUAAAUAACUGAUGCGCAAAUACCCAACUCACUGGUGGUAGUUUC
ensembl:misc_RNA 7SK 7SK RNA